UAAGAUCUACAUAUUUCCGGAAACUGUGUUUUUAUCAACCCGCGUAUGGAGAAAGGAGUGGACUCGGAAGAUUAUGGACUAAUAAAAGCCUCGGCCUACUGAAAAUAGAUAACGUGAGCAUUUUGAAAUGGAAUGCAACGGGCGCUUUUUGAAUGAAACUUGGGCAAUUAAAUGAUAUUGGCUUGACAACAAAGAGACGCGUUCGCCUGUGGGGUUUUGAGUUCAGAGCAGGCUUUUGUUCAAAUCAGCAAAUAAGCCAUGCAUUGAAAUUACCGUGACAAAAGGGAAGCCGGCAAUUGUGUUAUCAUGCUGAAAAUCACAGAAUACAAAACAAUAAUAACACUGGCGCUGAGUGAAUAUGUAUUGUCAAAAUAUCACAUUUCGA